rnacentral:rRNA from 1 species
GAUCCUGGCUCAGGAUGAACGCUGGCGGCGUGCCUAAUACAUGCAAGUCGAGCGAACAGAUAAGGAGCUUGCUCCUUUGACGUUAGCGGCGGACGGGUGAGUAACACGUGGGUAACCUACCUAUAAGACUGGGAUAACUUCGGGAAACCGGAGCUAAUACCGGAUAACAUUUGGAACCGCAUGGUUCUAAAGUGAAAGAUGGUUUUGCUAUCACUUAUAGAUGGACCCGCGCCGUAUUAGCUAGUUGGUAAGGUAACGG